UCGGCCCGCUCUGUCCCAGCCGCCGUGCUGGCGAGUCACUUAGCCGUCCCGGGGCCCUGGCUGAAGUUCUUUGAAGGAGUUUUCCCCUCCUGGCAGAGGGAAGAGAGGCUCCAGCAGAAUUUGUUCCCAACGGUCAGCUUCAUCUCGAUAAUAUGGCAUGCGUACUGUAUGCCAGGCGCUGUGCUUUGGCUUGUGAGUUCGUCUCUGAUUCAGAGGCAGUUUUUUCCAAGAGCCAGAGGGGUUAAAUGCCGAGGAGCCUGUCGAGUUCUCAAGAGGGGAAGAUGCAAAAGGCACACUCACCUGGACAGGCCGAAGUCAGAUACUUUAACAACUCCUUGAUCGUUUACCAAACAGUUUCGAGCAGCCUGUAGUGUGAGAGAUACCAGUGAGACCCCGUCCCUGGCACACAGAUUAAAGGCACAGAGCUUCUGCCCACCAGGGGAGUGAAGCCACGGAAGCCUCAUCUUCUUCAACUAGAGACCCCUUCUCACCUAACCAGAGGAAGUUGAUGCCACUGAGAAAUGUUGCAUUUCCAACACAGGUAAACCUGAAAUGAUGGCUCCAGCAGUCCUUCUCAUCCAUUUAUGAUAUGUCUUCCUGUGCUACUUCCACCCCCUCAGCCCUUGGUCCCAGGCCAAUCCUUUGAGGUCCUACCAGGUCUCGGUGAAGGAACUGCUUUGACUCCAGGUAUUCCAUGGCUUCGCAGACAUCCUUGCACAUCUCCAGGAGCUGCUGAGUCUGGAAGCGGUGGCGCAUCUCCCUCAGGUGACUGGAUUAAAUGGUUGCCAAGAGCUUCCCAAUAGCCCUCUAUCUUUCCACUGAAGAGGAAGUCCUAACUAGGACAAAUCCCCUGUCUCAGCAAGAAUACCAGCCAACACUGCCAGGUCCCA